GUGGUUUAACAGAGGAGUAACUGUCAUUUUGAGUCAGAGUCUCUACCUGACAAAGUCAUGUUAGGAUAUAUCAGUUAUCCUGUUAGAACCUUAUACAGUAUCAUACCUGUUAGAACCUUUAUGUGGAAUCCACUGUUCUGUUUCAGCUGCAACGUUUAUGGUCACGUCGCAGCAGUUGUUGUUGGAGGGAGAUUCCAAAAUGUGGGGAAUGUGUAGGAGGGCAUGGGAUAGAGAAUUGUGUAGUUUCGGUGGAUAACGUUGUGUGUGUCAACUAUAGGGAUGCCCAUUGUUUAACUGCCUUAACUUUGCCGCACCCCAGGGCUAAUGGGGAUUGUGAGGGGGGAAAUUACGUAUUUAUUUGAUAUUACUGGUUAACAAUUAAUAUUUAACUAAUAGUAAGUCAUUUCUGUCCUACUAGUGUCUGUGUUUUUAUGGUCUCCACUCUACAGUAUUUCACUGCAGCUAAUCUGGGCGUAUGGUCACUGGAGAUGGCCUGAGCUGACAAAUGAGUUACACACUGCAUUACAUAGACAAGAAUGUGUUUAACUAGGGAUAGUUUAGGAGUAGAACAAUCCCUUAUUGUCUCUAACUCGUUUUUGCAUCUGGGAAACUGAACCAGGGUGGGGUUAAGACAACAACCCUGUGCAGAAAACGACCGGAUGAACCCAGAGUGGUUUAUGAUGCCCCAAUCUGCAUGGGAUAGGUGGAACCAAUCAUGACUAAGUAUUUUCGCCGUGAUUGGCUCAGUGUUCUGUCACUCAUUGGGACAUUAUGUCACCACCGAAUCUACAGGGAGAGCUAGGCAGUUCAAGCCCCCUUGGGUGCUGCAAUAGAAUUGCCCAUCCAAGAAGGCUCAAGGACUGAUCAUAUCAACAUGAUACUUUCACAAUCUUAGCUAUCAAGCUAGACAAGCGGUCAUCAUCUUGAAUCACGUCAACAAUCUACUGGAAAAUCCUUGUCAAAUGAAGAGAUAUUAUAGAUAAAACGUAUCGGUGCUCUUCGACCAUUGGAUAUAAACAUUACACAAGUCGGAAAUUGCAAAUAAAAUAACGAGUGGUUUAGAACUAACCAAUGGCAAGCGUAGCCUGCUAUUCGGUGGAGAGGGUGUGUGGUCCGGGUUUAAGGAGUCAAAACAUCUGUCUGAAAUGAUCUCUUUUCCAAUCUUAAAAGGAUAAACAUCCACAUGCAACACCAUGGGCCAGAAAAGGUUGAAUGCAGGUUCAAUCCAGCAUGACUUCUGCCGCGUUCAACACAACUGGGAACUCUGAAAGAAACCAACUCGGACUGGGAAAAUAGUUCGGGAACUCGGGCCUUUUUCUAGAGCUCCGACUUGAAGAUCACAAACAUUAUGUUUCAACUUUUUUUCUCUCUCUCUCGAGUUCCCAGUCUUGAAUAAAUCAUAAAUCCAGAGCAUGUCAGACUUUGAUGACAAAAGUUUGCCCACAGGAAGACCGCCGCGCCACGUUCAAAUGAGCACAUUACAACAACAGUAAAUAGUGAUACUCUCUAAACUGCUCUGGCGACAAAACAAACCGUGUUGCCCUGUCUCCAAUCAUCCACAUGGCUGGGAGAACCUAUUCAAAGAGCUGUGAAAGCCUGUCU